CCUACGGGUGGCAGCAGUGGGGAAUAUUGGGCAAUGGGCGCAAGCCUGACCCAGCAACGCCGCGUGAAGGAAGAAGGCUUUCGGGUUGUAAACUUCUUUUCUCAGGGACGAAGAAAGUGACGGUACCGGAGGAAUAAGCCACGGCUAACUACGGGCCAGCAGCCGCGGUAAUACGUAGGUGGCAAGCGUUAGCCGGCUUUAUUGGGUGUAAAGGGCGUGUAGGCGGGAGCGCAAGUCAGAUGGGAAAACUCAGGGCUCAACCCUGAGCCUGCAUUUGAAACUGUGUUUCUUGAGUGCUGGGGAGGCAAUCGGAAUUCCGUGUGUAGCGGUGAAAUGCGUAGAUAUACGGAGGAACACCAGUGGCGAAGGCGGAUUGCUGGACAGUAACUGACGCUGCGGCGCGAAAGCGUGGGGAGCAAACAGGAUUAGAUACCCUAGUAGUC
rnacentral:rRNA from 1 species